rnacentral:rRNA from 1 species
CGGCAAACGGGUGCGGAACACGUACACAACCUUCCUUUUAGUGGGGAAUAGCCCAGAGAAAUUUGGAUUAAUACCCCGUAACAUGACCGAGUGGCAUCACUUGGUUAUUAUAGCUUCGGCGCUAAAUGAUGGGUGUGCGUAUGAUUAGAUAGUUGGCGAGGUAACGGCUCACCAAGUCUACGAUCAUUAGCUGAUGUGAGAGCAUGAUCAGCCACACGGGCACUGAGACACGGGCCCGACUCCUACGGGAGGCAGCAGUAAGGAAUAUUGGUCAAUGGACGCAAGUCUGAACCAGCUAUGCCGCGUGAAGGAUUAAGGUCCUCUGGAUUGUAAACUUCUUUUAUCUGGGACGAAAAAAGGUCUUUCUAGACCCCUUGACGGUACCAGAUGAAUAAGCACCGGCUAACUCCGUGCCAGCAGCCGCGGUAAUACGGAGGGUGCAAGCGUUAUCCGGAUUCACUGGGUUUAAAGGGUGCGUAGGCGGGUAGGUAAGUCAGUGGUGAAAUCCUGGAGCUCAACUCCAGAACUGCCAUUGAUACUAUCUAUCUUGAAUAUUGUGGAAGUAAGCGGAAUAUGUCAUGUAGCGGUGAAAUGCUUAGAUAUGACAUAGAACACCCAUUGCGAAGGCAGCUUACUACGCAUAUAUUGACGCUGAGGCACGAAAGCGUGGGGAUCAAACAGGAUUAGAUACCCUGGUAGUCCACGCCCUAAACGAUGGAUACUCGGCAUACGCGAUACACUGUGUGUGUCUGAGCGAAAGCAUUAAGUAUCCCACCUGGGAAGUACGUUCGCAAGAAUGAAA